AACGAAACGCUGGCGGCAGGCUUAACACAUGCAAGUUCGCACGAGAACGCUCUGGCUUUCGGCCGGGGCAAGUACAGUGGCGGAACGGGUGCGUAUCGCGUAGAUAACCUGCCCUCAGGCGCGGGACAAUCACGGGAAACCGUGGCUAAUACCGCACGUCGUCUGGACCCCGCAUGGGGACCAGAUGAAAGCUUGGGGUUACCCAGGCGCCUUUGGAUGGGUCUGCGUUGGAUUAGCUUGUUGGUGAGGCAACGGCUCACCAAGGCGACGAUCCAUAGCUGGUCUGAGAGGACGAUCAGCCACACUGGGACUGAGACACGGCCCAGACUCCUACGGGAGGCAGCAGUGGGGAAUCUUGCACAAUGGGGUCACCCCUGAUGCAGCCAUGCCGCGUGGAGGAAGACACCCCUAUGGGGCGUAAACUCCUUUUCUGAACGAAGAAACCCCUGUAGGUUCAGGGCGCGACGGUAGUUCAGGAAUAAGCACCGGCUAACUCCGUGCCAGCAGCCGCGGUAAUACGGAGGGUGCAAGCGUUGUCCGGAAUCACUGGGUGUAAAGGGUGCGCAGGCGGGGCAGCAAGUCGGAUGUGAAACCCCAUGGCUCAACCAUGGAGGUGCAUUCGAAACUGUUGCUCUUGAGUCCCGGAGAGGCUGUCGGAAUUCGUGGUGUAGCGGUGAAAUGCGUAGAUAUCACGAGGAACACCAGAGGCGAAAGCGGGCAGCUGGACGGGUACUGACGCUCAGGCACGAAAGCGUGGGGAGCAAACAGGAUUAGAUACCCUGGUAGUCCACGCCGUAAAAGAUGAAACGCUUCGCCGUUGCCCCGCUCAAAGGGGGCAGUGGCUAAAGUUAACGCGUUAAGCGUUCCACCUGGGGAGUAGAAUCGCAAAGGGUUGAAAAUCAAAGGAAAUUGGAGGGGGGCCCGGCAACAAAGCGGUGGAGCAAUGUGGCUCAAAUUCGAUGGCAAACGGAAGGAACCCUUACCUAGGGCUGAAACGCUAGAAGGACCGGCUCCUGAAAGAGGAGGCUUUCCCCUUUGGGGCCUCUAGCGAGGUACUGCAUGAGCUGUUCGUUCAAGCUCGUGUCGUGAGAUGUUGGGUUGAAGUCCCGCAACGAGGCGGUAAACCCCUGUUGCUAGUUACCAUCGGGUAGUGCCGGGAACUCUAGCGAAAACUGCCUGCGCGAAGCAGUGAGAAAGGUGGGAAUGACGUCGAAGUCUUCAUGGUCCUUACGCCUAGAGGCUGCACACGUGCUACGAAUGGCCGGUACGAACGGGUAGCCGACCUCGCGAGAGGAAGCGAAAUCCCUGAAAAACCGGUCCCGAGUUUCGGAUUGGAGUCUGCGAACUCGAACUCCAUGAAAGCAGGAAUCGCUAGUGAAUCGCGGAUCAGCGAAUGCCGCGGUGAAAUCCGUUCCCGGGCUUUGUACACACCGCCCGUCAAAGCCAUGGAAAGCUGAGAGCACCCGAAAGUCCGUGUACUCAAACUCCGGCCUUGCGUCGGAGAGAGAAGCGGCCGAAAGGUGAAGCUCAAGUAACUGGGGCU
rnacentral:rRNA from 1 species